CCCUUAGAUGUUCGGGGCCGCACGCGCGCUACACUGAAGGAAUCAGCACGUCUUUCUCCUUGUCCGAAAGGACUGGGUAACCCGCUGAACCUCCUUCGUGCUAGGGAUUGGGGCUUGUAAUUCUUCCCCAUGAACGAGGAAUUCCCAGUACGCGCGAGUCAUAAGCUCGCGUUGAUUACGUCCCUGCCCUUUGUACACACCGCCCGUCGCUACUACCGAUUGGAUGGUUUAGUGAGAUCCUCGGAUUGGUCCCGGCGCGGCCUCUGGUCGUGCCGGAGUGCCGAAAAGAAUGUCGAACUUGAUCAUCUAGAGGAAGUAAAAGUCGUAACA
rnacentral:rRNA from 1 species